UGAAUUACAACAAAAAAACAAAAUUGAAAAUAAUAGAAGGACUAUUUUCAUAAUUUGUUCCGUUUUUUCGGCUUUGCUAAAUUAUUAUGAAAAAUACUUUGAAAAUCUAAAAUCGACAUUCAUCGUGAAUAUCUAGAUCAAAGUUGCAACAAAAAAGAUCUUUUGUCAUUUUUCUAUUAGAGUCAUAUUUCUGGUAGAAAACAAAGUGUAUACAAAUUAAAAACAAUGGAAUCGUUAACGCUGUGGCGCACCGUAAAUAUUUGGUGUUUUACUUAUACUUUUGUUUCCGAGUUUUCUCAAUUAUUUUGAAAACCCCUUUGUAAAAUAAAAAAUAACUUAUUUUAUGCUUCAACUAGAUAAAAUUCCCUCCAGAAAACUUGUUACCCUACAUGACACA